UCAACCAUCAAGCCUGGCUUGUUGUUGGACUUUGCUACUGAAACAUGUGGCACGCCCGAAAAAUAAUGACGGUGUCAUGUUUGACCCUAGAUGCAACGAGCUUUUUAUAGCACGCAUUGAAGUGGUCGACUGAACUGGUCUUUAACCAUCAAUUUCUAA
rnacentral:misc_RNA from 1 species